UACGGGGGGGGCAAGCGUUGUUCGGAAUUACUGGGCGUAAAGGGCUCGUAGGUGGCCAACUAAGUCAGACGUGAAAUCCCUCGGCUUAACCGGGGAACUGCGUCUGAUACUGGAUGGCUUGAGUUUGGGAGAGGGACGCGGAAUUCCAGGUGUAGCGGUGAAAUGCGUAGAUAUCUGGAGGAACACCGGUGGCGAAGGCGGCGUCCUGGACCAAUUCUGACGCUGAGGAGCGAAAGCCAGGGGAGCAAACGGG
rnacentral:rRNA from 1 species